CUAAGCGCGAGCCUUUCCGUGUGGGACAGAUCUAGAUAUCUGGAAUAAUCCCACUUGCUGCAGCCUAUUGCCGGCGAGGUCACAUCCGAUUCGAUUACGGAGUCACUCAUAAAUUCUUGCAUUUGAAGGCUGAAAUAAUUUUGCCUCCGGAAUGGUACAAACCAGUUUUUUCCACGCAAUCAGCUUCAGCUACAGAGUGCGCAUCUUCUUGUUUUUUUUUGGUGGAAUCCAUGGCUUCACAAUAAGUCGACAGCCCAACCGAACAACAAUCGCCUUUGCAGGAUCCAAUGUAACCUUAACCUGGAAUUUGAUUCUUACUCCUACGGAAAAAGCAGAAAAGUUAGAAGUAUGGUUCGGCACAUGGGAUAACCAUAACAAAAUUAUUGGGACAUUUUUGAAGAAAUUCACUCUGGCAAAUAAAUUGAUCAGUGAUGAAACAGAAAACAUAUCAAAGGCAAAGCGUUGGCACUGGAAUGGUGAUAUAUCGCGAACUUAUGCUAUUGCUUACCAACUUACUAAUGCACAGCACGACGAUGCUGGAAAUUACGGGAUCCGGGUGCACGUCGAUACUUGGCCU